rnacentral:rRNA from 1 species
UACGGGGGGGGCUAGCGUUGUUCGGAAUUACUGGGCGUAAAGGGCGCGUAGGCGGCGCGAUAAGUUGGGCGUGAAAGGCCCGGGCUCAACCCGGGGACUGCGCUUGAUACUGUCGCGCUGUGAGUCCGGGAGAGGAUGGCGGAAUUCCCAGUGUAGAGGUGAAAUUCGUAGAUAUUGGGAAGAACACCGGUGGCGAAGGCGGCCAUCUGGACCGGCACUGACGCUGAGGCGCGAAAGCGUGGGGAGCAAACAGG